AUUGAACGCUGGCGGCAGGCCUAACACAUGCAAGUCGAACGAGAGGCGGACGGGUGGGUUAUGUCUGGGAAACUGACCGAUGGAGGGGGAUAACUACGGGAAACAGUAGCUAAUACCGCCUACCAUCGGAUGUGCCGGGUUGGGAUAAGCUAGUGGGUGGGGUAACGCCUCACCUCGACGACGAUCCCUAGCUGGUCGGAGAGGAUGACCAGCCACACUGGACCUGAGACACGGUCCAGACUCUAACGGGAGGAAGCAGUGGGGAAUAUGGCACAAUGGGCGAAAGCCUGAUGCAGCCAUGCCGCGUGUAUGAAGAAGGCCUUCGGGUUGUAAAGUACUUUCAGCGAGGAGGCGUUACUCGCAGAAGAAGCACCGGCUAACUCCGUGCCAGCAGCCGCGGUAAUAC
rnacentral:rRNA from 1 species